GACGAACGCUGGCGGCGUGCUUAACACAUGCAAGUCGAACGGAAAGGCCCUGCUUUUGUGGGGUGCUCGAGUGGCGAACGGGUGAGUAACACGUGAGUAACCUGCCCUUGACUUUGGGAUAACUUCAGGAAACUGGGACUAAUACCGGAUAGGAGCUCCUGCUGCAUGGUGGGGGUUGGAAAGUUUCGGCGGUUGGGGAUGGACUCGCGGCUUAUCAGCUUGUUGGUGGGGUAGUGGCUUACCAAGGCUUUGACGGGUAGCCGGCCUGAGAGGGUGACCGGCCACAUUGGGACUGAGAUACGGCCCAGACUCCUACGGGAGGCAGCAGUGGGGAAUAUUACACAAUGGGCGGAAGCCUGAUGCAGCAACGCCGCGUGCGGGAUGACGGCCUUCGGGUUGUAAACCGCUUUCGCCUGUGACGAAGCGUGAGUGACGGUAAUGGGUAAAGAAGCACCGGCUAACUACGUGCCAGCAGCCGCGGUGAUACGUAGGGUGCGAGCGUUGUCCGGAUUUAUUGGGCGUAAAGGGCUCGUAGGUGGUUGAUCGCGUCGGAAGUGUAAUCUUGGGGCUUAACCCUGAGCGUGCUUUCGAUACGGGUUGACUUGAGGAAGGUAGGGGAGAAUGGAAUUCCUGGUGGAGCGGUGGAAUGCGCAGAUAUCAGGAGGAACACCAGUGGCGAAGGCGGUUCUCUGGGCCUUUCCUGACGCUGAGGAGCGAAAGCGUGGGGAGCGAACAGGCUUAGAUACCCUGGUAGUCCACGCUGUAAACGGUGGGUACUAGGUGUGGGGUCCAUUCCACGGGUUCCGUGCCGUAGCUAACGCUUUAAGUACCCCGCCUGGGGAGUACGGCCGCAAGGCUAAAACUCAAAGGAAUUGACGGGGCCCCGCACAAGCGGCGGAGCAUGCGGAUUAAUUCGAUGCAACGCGUAGAACCUUACCUGGGUUUGACAUGGAUCGGGAGUGCUCAGAGAUGGGUGUGCCUCUUUUGGGGUCGGUUCACAGGUGGUGCAUGGCUGUCGUCAGCUCGUGUCGUGAGAUGUUGGGUUAAGUCCCGCAACGAGCGCAACCCUUGUUCACUGUUGCCAGCACGUUAUGGUGGGGACUCAGUGGAGACCGCCGGGGUCAACUCGGAGGAAGGUGGGGAUGACGUCAAGUCAUCAUGCCCCUUAUGUCCAGGGCUUCACGCAUGCUACAAUGGCUGGUACAGAGAGUGGCGAGCCUGUGAGGGUGAGCGAAUCUCGGAAAGCCGGUCUCAGUUCGGAUUGGGGUCUGCAACUCGACCUCAUGAAGUCGGAGUCGCUAGUAAUCGCAGAUCAGCAACGCUGCGGUGAAUACGUUCCCGGG
rnacentral:rRNA from 1 species